CUCUUGCACUUACACUCAUAUUUCGAGUCAUUUUGUUGUUUGGGCCCGAUUUAAUUAUUUCAUGAUUUUUGACAACCCCCAUUCAUAACAAAUGUAUCCCUCUCCCAUGAAAUGUAUAAUAUUUAUCCUUUCAUUCUUUAUUCAUCUGUUAAUACAAGAAUUAAAAUGAACAUUCGAUAACCAUUUCAAAGCAAGAUCAAAACCUCGAUCCAAUGUCGAGUAAUCAUUUUUCAAAAC
rnacentral:lncRNA from 1 species